rnacentral:rRNA from 1 species
ACGGGCGGUGUGUACAAGACCCGGGAACGUAUUCACCGCGACAUGCUGAUCCGCGAUUACUAGCGAUUCCGACUUCACGCAGUCGAGUUGCAGACUGCGAUCCGGACUACGAUCGGGUUUCUGGGAUUGGCUCCCCCUCGCGGGUUGGCGACCCUCUGUCCCGACCAUUGUAUGACGUGUGAAGCCCUACCCAUAAGGGCCAUGAGGACUUGACGUCAUCCCCACCUUCCUCCGGUUUGUCACCGGCAGUCUCAUUAGAGUGCCCUUUCGUAGCAACUAAUGACAAGGGUUGCGCUCGUUGCGGGACUUAACCCAACAUCUCACGACACGAGCUGACGACAGCCAUGCAGCACCUGUGUUCCGGUUCUCUUGCGAGCACUUCCAAAUCUC